GACAGAGGUGCCGAGCGUUAGGCGGAAUCACUGGGCUUAAAGCGUGUGUAGGCGGGUCGUUAAGUGUCUUGUGAAAUCCCACCGCUCAACGGCGGAACUGCUGGGGCAUACUGGCGAUCUUGAGCCACCUAGGGGCAGACGGAACAAGCGGUGGAGCGGUGAAAUGCGUAGAUAUCACUUGGAACGCCGACGGUGAAAACAGUCUGCUGGGGGUGUGCUGACGCUGGAGACACGAAAGCCAGGGGAGCAAACGGG
rnacentral:rRNA from 1 species